CACUUACAGGCAGGGAAACGUCAUAAAAGUGAAGUAUUUAAUAGUAGGUGUUUGUGUAAUUUGUUAUUUUUAAUAAAUAUAACGAAUUUUUAUUCGAGUCGUGUUUGGCGAUAUGCCGGGGAGCCCGAGUGGCUCGUACCGAUCCCUUACCGGUUCGAGCGACGUCUAUCGCUCCACCACCGUGUCGGGGGGGAAUACCGCCACAGGUCUGCUGGAUGGUGUCAAGAAAGCUUUUAGUUUUGUCUCGGGCGCCGCCGCCACCAAGGAGGAACGCCUGCUCCAAAGGGAUCCUCGGGCCGUGGGGCCCAUCGUUAUUUCCACCAGGACUGAUAGUGCAAACAUUAACACAAACAGAAAAAUGCCUGCUUCCGGAAUAGCAGAAGAGGCUGCCCUUUUGGGUACAAUGCCUUCCGACAGCAUGGACGAUAUUGAAUUGAAAAAUAUUCAGUUGCAAUUCCCCUCAGCCCGAUCGCUCUCUAGAGAUGAUUCUUCGGCUCAAGAAGAAAUUGUGGAAACCGAUCGCGGGAAUAUUGUUGUGGCUAUUCAAGGUUCAAGGAAUAAACCAGCUAUUUUGACGUAUCAUGAUUUGGGACUUAACUAUAUUUCAAGUUUCCAGGCAUUUUUCAAUUACAUUGACAUGAGAGCAUUAUUAGAAAAUUUCUGUGUUUACCACGUGAAUGCCCCAGGACAAGAGGAGGGAGCUCAAACUCUCCCAGAAGAUUACGUUUACCCGACAAUGGACGAACUGGCAAAUCAGAUUAGUUACGUGCUGACCCACUUUGGUAUAAAACAGUUCAUAGGAUUUGGAGUCGGGGCCGGCUCCAAUGUUUUGUGCCGGUUUGCAUUAAGCCACCCCAGCCAAGUAUCCGCUCUCUGCCUGAUAAAUUGUGUGAGCACCCAAGCCGGCUGGAUCGAGUGGGGUUACCAGAAGCUCAACGCCAGGCACCUCCGGUCGAAGGGUAUGACACAGGGAGUUUUAGAAUAUUUGAUGUGGCACCACUUCGGAAGGCAUACUGAAGAAAGGAAUCACGACUUGGUUCAAGUGUAUAAGAGUUACUUCGAGAGGAAUGUGAAUCCCACCAACUUGUCAUUGUUCAUCGACAGUUACAUCAGAAGAAACGAUCUAAAUAUUCACAGAGAAACGGACCCAGUGAAAAAGAAGACAGCCACUCUGAGUAUGCCUAUAUUGAACAUUACGGGUGCGUUUAGUCCACAGAUGGACGACACCGUGACGUUUAAUGGCCGUCUUGAUCCAACAAACUCUUCCUGGAUGAAGAUUUCGGAUUGUGGCAUGGUACUGGAGGAACAGCCGGCAAAAGUCAGUGAAGCUUUCAGGUUAUUUCUACAAGGCGAGGGAUACGCUGUACAAUUCAAGUGCCUCAAGUCUUGCUAAAUCAGUCAAUUGUAGUAAAUUAUACAUAAGCUUAGGGAAAUUAUCCGAUGUCUCGGAAAUUCGACACAUACUCUGCACUUACUCUAAUAACUUUGAUCUCACUGAACAGUAUUUAUGUGUCCAACAGUAUUCUAGAUAUAGUUCUAAAAAUUGGAGAUGGGAAACAAUGCUUCACCAAGUUUGGGAGUGUACAAGUAUUAUCCCUAAUUUUACAUUUUAAUGUCUCUUAAAAGACAACUUUGCGAAUUUGCGACACCACUACCAAUAUUUCAGUAUUGCCAAACUUGCCUUGUUCAAAAAGUUAGUGCAGUGUUUUAAGCAUUAUAACAAACAAGUUAAAGUAAGGGCUGAUGGUUGUUCACAAAUUUUGACGUUUGUAUGCCGUCAGGAUCCAGGGGGCAUUGCGAUCGACGCACUCAGAUCUGACUAAUUACGAUUUAUCAUCUGUUAUCAUAUUUAUCAUUUGUUACUACAUUAAUUACUUUUAUUGUACUGUCACAACAGUUUACGCGACGAAUUUGUUUCUUCUUGAAGCACCUUUCCUUAGAUCUGACGACGUUGAUACUCGGAACUGUCUUAAGUAACUUAAUGAAUUAAAAUAAAAACUAUGCCUUUAACAAUCUGUACUUUUAUCCAACUUUUGGGCAAAGGUAAUGUUGAUCGGCAUGACAAAUAAAACCACACCAAUUAUACAUAAAUUAUUAUUUUCUUUUGAUUAUUAAAUAAUUCCUUGAUCUAAGUGUAAUUGAUUUCUAGAGUCUACAAAUACACUAUUUAAUAAGAGUUUGUCUGAACUGUUGUGAAUCGGACGUAAAAGAUUUUCCAAAUGUAUCUAGAUUAUGUUCCAAAAAUAUGUCCAAUGGAGAUAGGAAUUUCAAUUAUGAGAGUCUAGAGAUAGCCCAUUCAGUUUGUUCGAAGCUUCCGAUAUGCACACUUCUCUUGACCCCUAAUUUAAGAAAAAUAUCUGAUAGGUUAGGUCAGGUUAGGCUUUUUCUGCAUGUAAACAUACAAAAAAGACCUAAAUCGUGAAAAUGAUUCCAUUAAGUUAUCUCUUACGUCACAUAAGAAGCUCAAAGCAAAGUGAAUUGACUGUCUCUAGAGUCUUCGUGCGAGAACAGAUAAGGUGUGCAGUUUCAGUGGCAGAAAGCAGGCAGCCUUUGCGCAGAUAUAACGCAGUUUUUGUCCCCUCUGUCCCAGCCCAUUUGUUUACUUCAGACGAAUUAGAGUGAGGCAGAGUACCAACAUGCAAAAAGCUUUCGUAUAAAAUGGCACUAAGCGCAGUUUGAUGAAAUUCACUGAUUUAGCAGGCGUUGGGACACAGAUGUGUAGUUUUGGCCGAUGUAGUCAAGGUCUCUAUCAUGUUGUUUUAGCCGUUCAAGUCGGGCGCAGACGGUCUAGCUGUAUGUCAUUCGAAGUUGCUCCUUUGUCACCAACGAAAAUGGCACUGUUUCGUAAAGCAUCAUUGGAGG